UUGCAACUGAGUGCUUAUUGCACCACAUGUGUUUUUCUUUGAAACAAACUUGCUUUGGCGGUGGGCCCAGCCUGCCGCCAGAGGUCUAAACUUACAACCAAUUUUUUAUCAACUUGUCACACCAGAUUAUUACUAAUAGUCAAAACUUUCAACAACGGAUCUCUUGGUUCUCGCAUCGAUGAAGAACGCAGCGAAAUGCGAUACGUAAUAUGAAUUGCAGAUAUUCGUGAAUCAUCGAAUCUUUGAACGCACAUUGCGCCCUCUGGUAUUCCGGAGGGCAUGCCUGUUUGAGCGUCGUUUCUCCCUCAAACCGCUGGGUUUGGUGUUGAGCAAUACGACUUGGGUUUGCUUGAAAGACGGUAGUGGUAAGGCGGGAUCGCUUUGACAAUGGCUUAGGUCUAACCAAAAACAUUGCUUGCGGCGGCAACGUCUACCACGUAUAUCUUCAAACUUUGACCUCAAAUCAGGUAGGACUACCCGCUGAACUUAAGCAUAUCAAAAAACGGAGGAAGG
rnacentral:rRNA from 1 species